rnacentral:rRNA from 1 species
CGGCACGGGUGAGUAACACGUGUCCAACCUGCCGUCUACUCUUGGACAGCCUCUGAAAGGAAGAUUAAUACAAGAUGGCAUCAUGAGUCCGCAUGUUCACAUGAUUAAAGGUAUUCCGGUAGACGAUGGGGAUGCGUUCCAUUAGAUAGUAGGCGGGGUAACGGCCCACCUAGUCUUCGAUGGAUAGGGGUUCUGAGAGGAAGGUCCCCCACAUUGGAACUGAGACACGGUCCAA